GCUAGUGGUGAGGAGAAAGGGAAAGGGGAUGCUCUGGUUACGUCAGAAUCAACAAAGGGGCAACGGCGAGCGUCACGGCCAGAGGCAAGGGUGAUGGCCGCUCCGGUUGUUCUGGUAUUGAAGUCACUUCACGGAGGAAGGUGUUUUUGUCUCGGUAGCUAGGAGCGCUCGAGAGGGACCUUUUAUAUCCGGUCAAGAUCGGUUCCGCUGCUGCCGGGGAUAAGAU
rnacentral:lncRNA from 1 species